UCUGGCACAGCCUCCCAGACGGGCGCUUCCUGUAGCUGAGCCACGUCAGGGAGCAGUGGGGACAGGUCACCUCAUCCCAGCAAUGCCGGCUCUCAAAGAGGCUUAGAUGGAAGACCCCAGUCCCUCAUUGAGAGGCGGUGUCCAGGAUCCUGGAGACUGUUUCCUGCUGCAGGAGGUUUGAGCGGGGAGAGAUCACUCACUGUCACGCCCCAGGGGUCUCCAACCCGGGUCUGCAGGGUUCAUGGGAGCAGCCACACUCCAACCCUCCACCUGGAAGUCUGCUGAAAAUUGCUUACCUCGGACCCAUGAAGUUCAGCCCCAGUUUGAGGCUCCACUCCUGAGGUCCUAUUGGAGGAGUCCCAGGAAAGCUCACUGGCCCCCUGGCCCUGCGUAAGACAGCAGCAGGAACACGAAGCUGACUGAACACCAGGCCUGCUCCCGGUUCUGGACCGUGCGCUGCCUGGUUCUGCUGCCGCUCCCCUGGCUUGAUUUCCUGGCAUCUGAGUUGUGGUGGUGAUAGCAAGUUUGUCUUUUGCUGCUGAUCUUCCAGUAUCCUGACCUGGCUGACUCUCCACUCCUGUCAUGUGAGUGUGGACUCUGGCUCUGACCAGUAGGUCUGGCUGCCCUUGACCCAGCCGUGACAUUGACUUUGGUACAACUUCUCCAUUGCCCCUUUCUGAUCUCCAGCAAGAUACACCAGUCCCUUGGCUCCCAAAGUCCCAGUUGCCCGCUAUUCAAGGGCUGAGGGGUAGUGCUUGUAUCGCCCCACCCCAGCUGCUUUUCCUAGGGGAAUCUCCCUAGAGCAGAGGAGAAAUCUGCUCUUUUCUUAGGAUCAGUCCCACUCUGGCCUCAGCUCGGCUACUUUGUUUACCUGGGGUCAGGCACUACUUUUGAAGCCCUUAGCGUGGGGGUGUAGGUGGGAGCAGAGGCUGAAGCUCCAGCAGUUUCCACCAAAGAACACCCCCCUGUCUUUCUAUGGUCCGGCUAGGGCUCCCCAUCCAUCCUGGAGCUGAACACCAGAUGGGAGCUGAUGGAUUGUCCUUGGUGGGCCAUGUUCUUGUGUGUGAUGAGAGGGCCAGGAGCAGCUGCACCACGCCUGGCCAGGACCGGGCUAAACAGCCUGUAAUGCUAGUCAGCCAGUGAGGCCAGUUUGCAGAAUGUGGAAGAGCCCUUUGGCGAGGCAUUGGAGGAUUCACCAUGAAGGUGGCAGCAGCAGCAGUGCCUGGGGUCCCUAUGGGCCAAGCCUCAACUCCUGCCAAUCCAGGCUAAUCUCCCCCCUGCUUUCAGCAGCGCUUGGCUUUAGCUGCUGGGCCUGUGAGCCUAGAUCAGGGGUCUCAAACUCAAAUGACCACGAGGGCCGGCUGAGGACUAGUUCAUUGGCCCGAGGGCCGCAUCACUGACACCCCCCCCUCGGUGCCCCCAGUCCUGCCCCCAGAGGGGGCAGGAGGAGUGUGGCAGGGGCUCAG